rnacentral:sRNA from 12 species
GUCGUAUAAAAAUGUAUUAGAUGCAAGACAAUCUAGCAUUUCCCUUUACGGCAUUAUACUAAAUUUAGAAGUUCAAACAACAAUAAUUGUUGUGUGGUCAAGAAUCGAAACAAUUUGAGUUUGAACGGAAGAGGUUAACCGUAUGACCUUGUGUUGAAAAACACUAAAAAUAAUCUCGAAUGAUGAUUUUUAAAAUUUCGUUAUUUUGAGUUACGGUCCG